rnacentral:misc_RNA from 1 species
GAUGAAGAACGCAGCGAAAUGCGAUACGUAAUGUGAAUUGCAAAUUCAGUGAAUCAUCGAGUCUUUGAACGCACAUUGCGCCCCCUGGUAUUCCGGGGGGCAUGCCUGUCCGAGCGUCAUUGCUGCCCUCAAGCACGGCUUGUGUGUUGGGCCCCGUCCUCCGAUUCCGGGGGACGGGCCCGAAAGGCAGCGGCGGCACCGCGUCCGGUCCUCGAGCGUAUGGGGCUUUGUCACCCGCUCUGUAGGCCCGGCCGGCGCUUGCCGAUCAACCCAAAUUUUUAUCCAGGUUGACCUCGGAUCAGGUAGGGAUACCCGCUGAACUCAAGCAUAUCAAUAAGCGGAGGA